rnacentral:rRNA from 1 species
CCUGGUGACCAUAGAGAAGUGGAAACACCCGUUCCCAUCCCGAACACGACCGUGAAACACUUCUUCGCCGAUGGUACUGAGCUUCUUGCUUGGGAGAGUAGGUCGUCGCCAGGU